rnacentral:rRNA from 1 species
AGAGUUUGAUCAUGGCUCAGAACGAACGCUGGCGGCAGGCUUAACACAUGCAAGUCGAGCGCCCCGCAAGGGGAGCGGCAGACGGGUGAGUAACGCGUGGGAACAUACCCUUUGGUUCGGAAUAACUCAGGGAAACUUGAGCUAAUACCGGAUACGUCCGUAAGGAGAAAGAUUUAUCGCCAAAGGAUUGGCCCGCGUCCGAUUAGCUAGUUGGUGAGGUAACGGCUCACCAAGGCUACGAUCGGUAGCUGGUCUGAGAGGAUGAUCAGCCACAUUGGGACUGAGACACGGCCCAGACUCCUACGGGAGGCAGCAGUGGGGAAUAUUGGACAAUGGGCGAAAGCCUGAUCCAGCAAUGCCGCGUGAGUGAUGAAGGCCUUAGGGUUGUAAAGCUCUUUUACCCGAGAUGAUAAUGACAGUAUCGGGAGAAUAAGCUCCGGCUAACUCCGUG